rnacentral:rRNA from 1 species
UGAGGAAUAUUGGUCAAUGGGCGGGAGCCUGAACCAGCCAAGUAGCGUGCAGGAUGACGGCCCUAUGGGUUGUAAACUGCUUUUAUGUGGGGAUAAAGUGAGCUACGUGUAGUUUAUUGCAGGUACCACAUGAAUAAGGACCGGCUAAUUCCGUGCCAGCAGCCGCGGUAAUACGGAAGGUCCAGGCGUUAUCCGGAUUUAUUGGGUUUAAAGGGAGCGUAGGCCGUGGAUUAAGCGUGUUGUGAAAUGUAGACGCUCAACGUCUGAAUUGCAGCGCGAACUGGUUCACUUGAGUAUGCACAACGUAGGCGGAAUUCGUCGUGUAGCGGUGAAAUGCUUAGAUAUGACGAAGAACUCCGAUUGCGAAGGCAGCUUACGGGAGCACAACUGACGCUGAAGCUCGAAGGUGCGGGUAUCAAACAGGAUUAGAUACCCUGGUAGUCCGCACGGUAAACGAUGGAUGCCCGUUGUCAGGCUGUUUCAGCCUGGUGACCAAGCGAAAGCAUUAAGCAUCCCACCUGGGGAGUACGCCGGCAACGGUG